GACGAACGCUGGCGGCGCGCUUAACACAUGCAAGUCGAACGGAAAGGCCUGCUUUCCCUUGUGGAUUGCGGGUACUCGAGUGGCGAACGGGUGAGUAACACGUGAGUGAUCUGCCCCCAACUUGGGUAUAAGCCUGGGAAACUGGGUCUAAUUCCCGAUAGGACUGCAGGGUGGUGCCUGUGGUGGAAAACGAUUUUCUAGUGGUUGGGGAUGAGCUCGCGGCCUAUCAGCUUGUUGGUGGGGUAAUGGCCUACCAAGGCGGCGACGGGUAGCCGGCCUGAGAGGGUGACGGCCACAUUGGGACUGAGAUACGGCCCAGACUCCUACGGGAGGCAGCAGUGGGGAAUAUUGCACAAUGGGCGGAAGCCUGAUGCAGCGACGCCGCGUGGGGGAUGACGGCCUUCGGGUUGUAAACUCCUUUCGACCGCGAGGAAGCCACCUGGUUGGAAGGGUGGUGACGGUAGUGGUAGAAGAAGCACCGGCUAACUACGUG
rnacentral:rRNA from 1 species